rnacentral:rRNA from 1 species
GACGAACGCUGGCGGCGUGCUUAACACAUGCAAGUCGAACGGAAAGGCCCUGCUUUUGUGGGGUGCUCGAGUGGCGAACGGGUGAGUAACACGUGAGUAACCUGCCCUUGACUUUGGGAUAAAUUCAGGAAACUGGGGCUAAUACCGGAUAGGAGCUCCUGCUGCAUGGUGGGGGUUGGAAAGUUUUGGCGGUUGGGGAUGGACUCGCGGCUCAUCAGCUUGUUGGUGGGGUAGUGGCUUACCAAGGCUUUGACGGGUAGCCGGCCUGAGAGGGUGACCGGCCACAUUGGGACUGAGGUACGGCCCAGACUGCUACGGGAGGCAGCAGUGGAAAAUAUUGCACAAUGGGCGGAAGCCUGAUGCAGCAACUCCGCGUGCGAGAUGACUGCCUUCGGGGUGGAAACCGCUUUCGCCUGUGACGAAGCUUGAGUGACGGUAAUGAGUAAAGAAGCACCGGCUAACUACGUG